rnacentral:rRNA from 1 species
GACGAACGCUGGCGGCGUGCCUAAUACAUGCAAGUUGAGCGCUGAAGGUUGGUACUUGUACCAACUGGAUGAGCAGCGAACGGGUGAGUAACGCGUGGGGAAUCUGCCUUUGAGCGGGGGACAACAUUUGGAAACGAAUGCUAAUACCGCAUAAAAACUUUAAACACAAGUUUUAAGUUUGAAAGAUGCAAUUGCAUCACUCAAAGAUGAUCCCGCGUUGUAUUAGCUAGUUGGUGAGGUAAAGGCUCACCAAGGCGAUGAUACAUAGCCGACCUGAGAGGGUGAUCGGCCACAGUGGGACUGAGACACGGCCCAAACUCCUACGGGAGGCAGCAGUAGGGAAUCUUCGGCAAUGGACGAAAGUCUGACCGAGCAACGCCGCGUGAGUGAAGAAUGGUUUCGGAUCGUAAAACUCGGUUGGUAGAGAAGAACGUUGGUGAGAGUGGAAAGCUCAUCAAGUGACGGUAACUACACAGAAAGGGACGGCUAACUACGUG